rnacentral:rRNA from 1 species
GACGAACGCUGGUGGCGUGCUUAACACAUGCAAGUCGAACGGAAAGGCCCUGCUUUUGUGGGGUGCUCGAGUGGCGAACGGGUGGGUAACACGUGAGUAACCUGCCCUUGACUUUGGGAUAACUUCAGGAAACUGGGGCUAAUACCGGAUAGGAGCUCCUGCUGCAUGGUGGGGGUUGGAAAGUUUCGGCGGUUGGGGAUGGACUCGCGGCUUAUCAGCUUGUUGGUGGGGUAGUGGCUUACCAAGGCUUUGACGGGUAGCCGGCCUGAGAGGGUGACCGGCCACAUUGGGACUGAGAUACGGCCCAGACUCCUACGGGAGGCAGCAGUGGGGAAUAUUGCACAAUGGGCGGAAGCCUGAUGCAGCAACGCCGCGUGCGGGAUGACGGCCUUCGGGUUGUAAACCGCUUUCGCCUGUGACGAAGCGUGAGUGACGGUGAUGGGUAAAGAAGCACCGGCUAACUACGUGCCAGCAGCCGCGGUGAUACGUAGGGUGCGAGCGUUGUCCGGAUUUAUUGGGCGUAAAGGGCUCGUAGGUGGUUGAUCGCGUCGGAAGUGUAAUCUUGGGGCUUAACCCUGAGCGUGCUUUCGAUACGGGUUGACUUGAGGAAGGUAGGGGAGAAUGGAAUUCCUGGUGGAGCGGUGGAAUGCGCAGAUAUCAGGAGGAACACCAGUGGCGAAGGCGGUUCUCUGGGCCUUUCCUGACGCUGAGGAGCGAAAGCGUGGGGAGCGAACAGGCUUAGAUACCCUGGUAGUCCACGCUGUAAACGGUGGGUACUAGGUGUGGGGUCCAUUCCACGGGUUCCGUGCCGUAGCUAACGCUUUAAGUACCCCGCCUGGGGAGUACGGCCGCAAGGCUAAAACUCAAAGGAAUUGACGGGGCCCCGCACAAGCGGCGGAGCAUGCGGAUUAAUUCGAUGCAACGCGUAGAACCUUACCUGGGUUUGACAUGGAUCGGGAGUGCUCAGAGAUGGGUGUGCCUCUUUUGGGGUCGGUUCACAGGUGGUGCAUGGCUGUCGUCAGCUCGUGUCGUGAGAUGUUGGGUUAAGUCCCGCAACGAGCGCAACCCUUGUUCACUGUUGCCAGCACGUUAUGGUGGGGACUCAGUGGAGACCGCCGGGGUCAACUCGGAGGAAGGUGGGGAUGACGUCAAGUCAUCAUGCCCCUUAUGUCCAGGGCUUCACGCAUGCUACAAUGGCUGGUACAGAGAGUGGCGAGCCUGUGAGGGUGAGCGAAUCUCGAAAAGCCGGUCUCAGUUCGGAUUGGGGUCUGCAACUCGACCUCAUGAAGUCGGAGUCGCUAGUAAUCGCAGAUCAGCAACGCUGCGGUGAAUACGUUCCCGGGGCU